UUGAAGUGCAGACAGAAUGGAACCGCA
rnacentral:sRNA from 1 species